rnacentral:hammerhead_ribozyme from 1 species
AGGACUGACGAGUCCAAAAUAGGACGAAACGCGCGUAUUGGAU